AAGUUCGUGAUUUAUUGUUAUGACAGUGAAACAAAUGCAGAAGUCACUCCUGAAAUAAAUCUUUUAAAAACACAUUUAUUCCUGGGAGAUUGUGGUCACUAACCCUAUUUUAAAGAUAAGCAAAUUUAAAAUCAGACAAGUUCCACGGCUUGUCUUAGACCACAAAGCAAUUCUGUGGCAGGGAUUUGUCAAAUAAUUUCUGAUUUCCAGGUUAAAGGUGAAAAACCAAUAAUUUAAUGUGUAUUAAAGCCAGGGUAACAUGGUCGAACAAUUUCCAUUCUUAGUGUGAAUAAACUAAGGGAAGUUGUCCACAGCACUGAACCUUACAACCUCCAGUAACAAUGACCAAUAAUUAACUCCCUGCCAGCCUAACUUAAAUGCGGAUUCAACUCAAAACUAGGUUGUCAGGGGUUUUUCAGUGUGAGCUAGUAAACAAGAAGUCUCUAACUCUGUCAAAUAUUUUCAUUGUUUUGUUAAAUUCUGGCUGUUCAAAACUAGGGUAAUUCUAUCGUUAAACUGACAAAGCCUAUGUUGAAGCCAUCAAGUAAAACGGAAUUGCUUUUUGACAAUCUUGCUUAAAUCAGAUAUAGAGGUGUUACUAGUCUUCUUUUCUGCACCACAUGAGAAAAAAAAUGUAUUGUUGACCCUCACCACAUUUGAUCCAAUCAUUUUAGGCAAAUGAAAUAUAUCUUUAUACAUAUAUUCCCUGGGUCCACAUGAAGAAAUGCAUACUGAAGUAUCCAAGGCUGAAAGAAGGUGAAAUACUGGGACUUGCUUUAAAAUACUUCAGCAAAGGGGGGGGGGGGGGAAGUAUAGAUGAAACAUCUGUGACAGAUAUUUCAACUGUGUAACGUGGGUGACGGCAUAUAGGGAGUUCGUGUCACCUUUUCUAUUUCCGUCUACGCUUAAAGUUUUGCACGAUAACUUUUAACAAAAUGAGUUAUUUCCCAAGUUACCGUCCUGGUUAGAAAACCCGAGUCGGUGUAGGCGAACGUUCUUGUCUUCGCAGCGAAACCGGGCGAAGCGCCUCCAGCCGAGCACACGCUAAGAUCCAACCAUCUGCCCGCCCUUACUGGGUACCAGGGACAUAGCUGAGAGCCAGACGCAAGAAUGCCACCUUACCAUCUCGGUGUGGUUCCAGAUAUGGUGGAGAACAAGGGGACCCUCUUUAGGGGGUGACAUUCAAGCUGACUCCGAGGCCUGGGCAGGACCUAACCACAGGAAGAGCCAGCGGGAAGCCAUGUGGGCAUAGAGGACAACAAGAGUAAAGACCUAGGAAAGUCACAACCACCCUGACUGUUGGGUGGCCUGGUGGCAUGACCGUAGUACCCUCCAAAGUCUGGCAGGAGGUCUGUGAGAUGUCAAAGAAAGGCCUUGUAGGCAGUAGGAGUUUUGAUGAUAUAAUAAUUUGGGAGCCACCGGCAGAUAAAUCUGGAAGAAUGAGUUCGAAAUAUGUUUCUUGAGAAAAGGGAAUAAAGCCCAGAGCAGGAAUGA